rnacentral:rRNA from 1 species
CCCCUAGAUGUUCUGGGCCGCACGCGCGCUACACUGAACAGUUCAACAAGUCUUAACCUUGGCCGGAAGGCCUGGGUAAUCUGUGAACGUGCAUCGUGAUAGGGAUAGAUUAUUGCAAUUAUUAAUCUUGAACGAGGAAUUCCUAGUAAACGCAAGUCAUCAGCUUGCAUUGAUUACGUCCCUGCCCUUUGUACACACCGCCCGUCGCACCUACCGAUCGAAGGUAAUGAUGAGCCCUCAGGAUUGUGGCCUCGUCGCGUCAGCGUCUUGGCUGCGAGAAUCUGUGCAAAUCCCUACCUUUAGAGGAAGGUGAAGUCGUAACA